CCUUGUACACACCGCCCGUCACACCAUGGGAGUUGGCUGCACCAGAAGUAGGUAGUCUAACCGUAAGGGGGGCGCUUACCACGGUGUGGUCAAUGACUGGGGUG
rnacentral:rRNA from 1 species